UACAAAAUUAAAUUUUCUAUCUGCUGGUGUAAGGUGUUAUACAAAAUAAAUUGGGGCUCAGUACGAAAUUCGAUGUUAAAAACUGCAGACCAUAAUUAUCACCUGCAGCUGCGCACAGUUUACUGUACUGUUAUCGCUAGCGAACGCCAGCGCUCUCAUUUGAUUGGUUUAACGGCGUGUUCGUUGCUGACGGAGAACAUCCCUGAUUUUUUAAUUUGUUUUGAUUAGGCUUGGAUUAGGCCGAUUAGGCACAUUGGAAUUCGGUUAAAAUUCAAUUUAAAAUUGUGCAGCUUGUUGAUGGUAGAAGUUGUGAAGCGCAUAACAUAAAAGAGUUGUGUAGAGAUUGUAUGGGGUGUUGGCGUUUUUGAAAUUUCCUUUUUCUUGUGCUCUUUUGAGAUCUUUGCAGGGGUUGGAAAUUUGCAAUCACAAUGCCACCAGGAAACAGUGUUUUUUUCAUGCCACAGUUAUGGGCAACACGGCAGGGCAAAGUUUGCCUCAAGUCCUGGCUCGUUCGUAGCCUUGAUUUGCAUUCAAGAAAGCAGGUGUGUGCCCAAAUGGAUGCUGCACAUUUUUUAUAUUCUUCAAAGCUAUCGAGGUUCAUUUGCCGAUUCUGCAUGGAGUAUGCGAAGCAAAGCAGUGUCAUGCUGACGCGGAUACGAAGACGUUGUAUCUGGCGGUGGUUCUGGAGACAGCGCGGUUCGAUCCAGCUGUGGGCCUGACGUCACCCAGCAGAAAUGGCAGCGUGUUAUCACCAGCUACGAGGCGCGCAUACAGACAUUGUCCAGAAACAAUCACGUCAUCUCCAGAGCGCCACGCGACCACGAUGGUACUGCCAACGAUGGCCUGCUCACCGACAGCUCCCCGCCAGCCGGCGGCGUUCCGCCAGCCAACGGGCUUCCGCCAGCCAACGGCGUUCUGCCCGCCGAUGGUGGCCCGACGACCGACGGUCGCUCGCCGGCCGAAGGUGAUCCUGUAGCCGAACGAGGCUCGCCGACCUACGCCGAUCGACGCCGGCCCGCCCGCCGACGACGCCCUGCCAGCCGACCGCGUCCCGCUCGCCGACGGCGUCGAUACGCCGGCGCGCGUAUCGACAUUGAUCAGAAACGAUCACAUUAUGUCCAGGUCAUUAGUCGCGGGCGCUCGAGCUGACGGUGUCGUCUGACGGCUCCGCGGUGACCAGCGCCGCCUCCGCCGAGAACAUCAGACUCCUGAAAUGCUAAUGGCCGUACACGAACAAGAGGCUCUAAACAUCCAGGUGCAGGAUAAGCGCCAUGCUCAGAGGCGUCAUCUGGAGAAGGCCGCACAGUGCACUUAAGGCUGAGCUCGGGUGUAGUGCGCGCAGACAGAUAUGAUCAACUGACGGGCCGGCCAUCAGAUUUCAGUACGGAACUCAAGAUGAUUGGAGCCGACGUGGUUCGGUUGAUGGUGUGUCAGGGUUGAUUGAGAGUGGAGGCGAGACACCCGGAUCUGUGAAUGAUACGCCGAUACGGAUCUCGACGUCGUCUUGCAAUUUGUGCUAUGUAAUAUGACGGCUAUGCCGUGGUAUCAUUCACUCUCGAUGCGCUUAUAAAUAAUAAAUAGGACAGAGACUGGAAUUAAGAUUAUUAUAUUUGGAUGUAAGGGGCAGGUUUUGGCCAGCUCUAUAUUAGAAAUCGUGAGCGUGCUAGUUGCAAUCAAUCGCGCGCUUCUUGCUGAGCAUCUGUGAGCGAGAAAAUACUUUCUCUGGAACGUUCGUCGUAAAAUAUGUGUAUCUUUGGAAUAAGUUGUCAGAACAUGAAUGCAUUUUUGGUGUCCACUGCAGCUGCUGUUCUGGAACAGAAACAUGCCGAGAUCGGCUGUGUAGGUAUGUACUAUGUACGCUGUGGCAAAAUCAAGCAGCCGUACCAUGAAUCAAAAGCGGUAUGUGAAUUAAAGUGGAUAUAUUUCACUAUUUUUUCAGUUAUAUCAUACAGAUCACAGAAAUGCGUCAAAUACUGAUCACACCCGGUUCCAAACAACUAAACGCUUGCGAUCACUGGAAAGUAAAUAAACAAUAGAUACCCA
rnacentral:lncRNA from 1 species